GUUAGCUCAGCUGGUUAGAGUGUGGUGCUGGUAACGCCAAGGUCACAGGUUCGAUCCCCAUAAGGGCCA